GACGAACGCUGGCGGCGUGCUUAACACAUGCAAGUCGAACGGGCCUGUCUUCUUUUUUGGGGGUGGGUUGAGUGGCGAACGGGUGAGUAUCACGUGAGUAACCUGCCCUUCGGUCCUGGAUAACCGCUUGAAAGGGCGGCUAAUACGGGGUGGUCCGGUUGGUCCGCAUGGGCUGGUCGGGAUAGAUUCACUGUUUUUGGUGUUUCGGCGGGGGAUGGGCUCGCGGCCUAUCAGCUUGUUGGUGGGGUGAUGGCCUACCAAGGCGGUGACGGGUAGCCGGCCUGAGAGGGUGGGCGGCCACACGGGGACUGAGAUACGGCCCAGACUCCUGCGGGAGGCAGCAGUGGGGGGUAUUGCACAAUGGGCGGAAGCCUGAUGCAGCGACGUCGCGUGAGGGAUGGAGGCCUUCGGGUUGUGAACCUCUGUUUCCGGUGGUGAAGGCCCUGUCCGUGUGGUGGGGUUGACGGUAGCCGGGGAUGAAGCGCCGGCUAACUACGUG
rnacentral:rRNA from 1 species